rnacentral:rRNA from 1 species
AGUGAACGCUGGCGGUAGGCCUAACACAUGCAAGUCGAACGGCAGCACAGUAAUAGCUUGCUCUUACGGGUGGCGAGUGGCGGACGGGGGAGGAAUACAUCGGAAUCUACUUUUUCGUGGGGGAGAACGUAGGGAAACUUACGCUAAUACCGCAUACGACCUACGGGUGAAAUCAUGGGAUCUUCGGACCUUGCGCGAUUGUAUGAGCCGAUGUCGGAUUAGCUAGUUGGCGGGGUAAAGGCCCACCAAGGCGACGAUCCGUAGCUGGUCUGAGAGGAUGAUCAGCCACACUGGAACUGAGACACGGUCCAGACUCCUACGGGAGGCAGCAGUGGGGAAUAUUGGACAAUGGGCGCAAGCCUGAUCCAGCCAUACCGCGUGGGUGAAGAAGGCCUUCGGGUUGUAAAGCCCUUUUGUUGGGAAAGAAAAGCAGCAGGUUAAUACCCCGCUGUUCUGACGGUACCAAAAGAAUAAGCACCGGCUAACUUCGUG